rnacentral:misc_RNA from 1 species
AUCUGCUCAAAAAAUGAUGUCCAAAUGAUAACACUGCAAUCCUAUUCUAGAAAGACCUUUUAUAAUUAGUGGGGAAAAACGUUAUAUACAAAUCUAACCAAUAAAAAGGUUUUAGAAAUGAAUGUCGUGCUUGUGCAUGUGCAAACAUGUGUGUCUGUGAGAAUGAUUGUAAAAAUAGAACCAGGAGCUAGAGUGAACUACCCACAGACCUAUCUGCUCGAGAACAGUUAAG